rnacentral:lncRNA from 1 species
ACGAUCUCUCCUGAACCUCUCCACUCCUCUCUCUCCAAGAUCAGAGCAAAGGGUGCAGAGCCAAAAACAGGAGCAAUCGAUACUGUGGCAGAGCAUGAGAGAAGAGAGAGCGAAAUAAAGAGGGAGAGAGAGAACGAGAGGGUGUUUCCAGAGGUAUUCCUUGACCUUCACCAGGCAGCGCUCCACAGCCAUAAAAGAAAACCAACCCUCCAUCUCCCUGUAGAGUUAACCUCUGGACCUGAGCCCUAGGACCAUGCCUCAGGACUACCUGGCUUGAUGACUCCUUGCUGUCCCCAGUCCACCUGGCCGUGCUGCUGCUUCAGUUCCAACUGUUCUGCCUGCGGCUAUGGAACCCUGACCUGUUCACCGGACGUGCUACCUGUCCCAGACCUGCUGUUUUCAACAGCAGGAGAG